rnacentral:lncRNA from 10 species
UGGAUCGCGAGGCCCUGAACGGUACAGCCGCUCUCAGGCGACCCAGGUCUUCACAGCCCCUCUCUCGUUUGAUCACACAACACAUUUGAUCACGUGACACCAUGCCUGACUUACCCAAGGGCGCAUGGUGAGUAACUGCGGGAGGUGCAGUCCCGUGGGGUCCCGGUGGAGCUGGGUGGGCUGACUUCGUCUGAGCCCUGCUUUUGCCCUAGGGCUGCUAUAACAAGGUGCUGCAGACCUGAUGGCUUAAAACAACAGAAAUUCACUCCUUUACAGUUCUGGAGGCGGAAAGGUCAAAUUCAAGGUGUGGGCAGGGCCACGCUCCCUCCAAAGACUCCAGAGAAGGUCCCUUUCUUGCCUCUCCCACUCCUGGUGACCACAGGGGUACCUCGGCUUGGGACAGCAGCACCCCAGUGUCCACCUUCCUCUGUCUCCACACAGCCUUCUUCCUGCUGUCUAUGCCACUGUCCAAAUCCCCCGCUCCCUUCUUUUUCUUUUUCUUUUUUGUUUUGUGUUUUGAGACAGAGUCUCGCACUGUCGCCAGGCUGGAGUGCAGUGGUGCGCGUGUGCCACCACCCUCAGCUAAUUUUUUUUUGUAUUUUUAGUAGAGACAGGGUUUCACCAUGUUGGCCAGGAUGGUCUCGAUCUCUUGACCUUGUCAUCCGCCCGCCUCUGUCUCCCAAAGUGCUGGGAUUAUAGGCGUGAGCCACCGUGCCCAGCCUUCCCCCUCCUUUCUAAAUGGGCAUGG